AUGGGCUGGUAAGCAGCCGCGGGCGCCGGAGAGAAAACCGGCGUUCGAGGAAAGUCCGGACACCACAGGGCAGGGCGGUCGGGAAGUCGACCCGGGGAAACCCGAGGGAAAGUGCCACAGAAACAAACCGCCCAAGCGACGGCCACGGCCGUCGCCGGCAAGGGUGAAAAGGUGCGGUAAGAGCGCACCGGCGCCGUGGCGACACGGCGCGUCCAGGCAAACCCCGCCCGGUGCAAGGCCAAGCAGGGACGACGAGGCUGCCCGCCGAGUCCCAGGUAGGCCGCAGGGCCGCGAGGCCCGCCCAGCCGCCGCCGACCUUCGAGCAGUCGAACGGCAGGGCAGACGGAUGGUUGCUCUCGACAGAAUCCGGCUUACAGCCAGCUAAGGGAA
rnacentral:RNase_P_RNA from 1 species